CGCGUAGGCGGGAUGGCAAGUCGGUCGUGAAAUCCUUCGGCUCAACCGAAGAACGUCGAUCGAUACUGCUGUUCUUGAGGGUUGCAGAGGAGACUGGAAUUCCCGGUGUAGCGGUGAAAUGUGUAGAGAUCGGGAGGAACACCGGUGGCGAAGGCGGGUCUCUGGGCAAUUCCUGACGCUGAGGCGCGAAAGCGUGGGGAGCAAACGGGAUUAGAUACCCCGGUAGUCCACGCUGUAAACGAUGACGACUAGGUGUGGGGGGGGGUCAGUCCCUUCCGUGCCGCAGCUAACGCAUUAAGUCGUCCGCCUGGGGAGUACGGCCGCAAGGUUGAA
rnacentral:rRNA from 1 species